GUAGAAGAGGUGACUGGGGUGGGGUGGGGUGGGGCCAGGCCAGGCCGGGCCUUGCCUCGCCUCGCCUCGCCUCGCCUCAACUUUAAGGUGUUACUCUCCAUGCCCACAUGAAAUUACUUGUUCCAAUAAAAGCUUCAUUUUCAAGGGCUCCUGGCACAAGUAAAGUGGCAGCAUCAGCCGUCAGAACAAAAUGCAUAGACAUUAUAAUCAUCAUAGGUGUUAAAGAUCUGCAUGGUCAAGAGGUGUGUCUGCAUACUUCAACUCCUGGUGACAAGAACUGCGGAGCAAAGAGGAAACUCGCUUGAUACCAACAUACCCGAGUACAUUUAAAAGCAGAAUGUAAUGCAUCAGCCAAUGUGAUAUUUUACCAACUUUAUAAGCCUAAUCUGCUAUACUUUGAAAUAAAAUAGGCUACUUUAAAGUAAUAGCAAUAACUGAAUAUUAAUCAAUAUAUGUAAAAAUCUGUUUGUGAGAUAAAAUAACUCCAUUACUGAAAUAUUAGUGUAUCUAUAAAUCACUAACUAUUUGGGAGGUACUCUAUUACCAUGGUGAAAGCCAUACAAAUACCUAGACAGUGUAUCCCUUCCUAGCGUGGGUAUUAUGUUGACAUGUUGGAUCUUAAAGGCCAGAAAGUUGAAACUGAAGUUUUUGAAACAAGUUUUAGAGCUUAUGAAAUAAGCUAUAUUUGACAGCAACAAUAAGUGUACUUACUGUAUAGAACAUCAGUCAGAAGAGUCCCAGGGUAUUUUAUAAUUCAGGAGCAGCUAAAAGCAUCAUCAAAAAUAGCUCCUUUUAAUGCUGAUUUUAACAAAGCUAACAAAUUCCACUUUUCGUAUUUCAAAUGGGUAAAUUCUGUAACUUUGGAGCAUAAUUGCUGAAAACUCAUGCAAAAAUAAAAUCUA